rnacentral:lncRNA from 1 species
GAAAGUUCCUCCGCCGCCUGCGUGUGCCGCGCACGGGGCAGGGCGCGUUCAAACGGCCCUCCAGGCCGAAAGGGGGCGCCCCACGCGUAGGCUUCGGGCCUCUUAGGGCCGGGCCCAGGCCUGGGCCUGGCGGGGCCGCUCUGGGCCGGGCUAUGAGGGGCGCCCCCGAGUGGGGCCUGCGGCGGUGCUCCGGGGCUGAGCCCGAGGGGGCCGUGGGGAGGACCUGAGGGCGGCUGGGGGGGAGGGAACGAGAACGGGGUGGGGCGAAGGGGAGGAGGGAUGAGCAGGUGCGGACAGCGGGCCUGUUGGAGCAGGAAGGGGCGGGGGCGGCCGCGGCCCGGGGCGGGCAUGGAGGAGCGCGGAACGGUCUGAGCCGUGUGGGGCCGGUGGGUGCGGGGCGCUGCUGGGGGUGACGGGAGGAGGGGAGCAGCGGGGGGACACCGGACCGGGGGGAGUAGCAGGCCUUAAGGGUGAUUGGGGAAACGUGGGGGGGACGGCGGCCCUUGGGGGUGUGGGGACGGUCCGUGGAGCGAAGGGGGUUUCGGGCCCUCGGUUUGUUAUGUGCCCCGUUUGGAUGAGCCCCGGCCAGCAGGGACUCGGGAUGCUGUACUCCCAGCCCCAGUAUGCCCUCUGUCCCCUAUGGGACAGCGUUGUGUGGGGCAGCGAUGCUUGGGUGCUCCCUGGGCUGCUGGGCCGGGUGGGUCCUCGCUUUGCCUCUCCACAGCCCAGUGCUGGCCCUGCCAGCUGCAUUCAGGCACCCCGUCCUUCAGUCAGAGCAUUAGUGGGGCUGGCCGGGCAGGGGGUCCAGCUCUGCCCUCACCUCUGUGGCUGCAGCUGAAUCCCUAAAGCUUCCAUCCCGCGGUAAAUGAAUCCAGGCAGAGCAGCCAAACCCUGAGGUGGUCGCAUGGUUUGACAUCACCCCUCGCUGCUCCAUGGCAGCAGCACCGGGCACUGAGUGGGAUCCUGCCCUGUGCCCCUCAGCAGCAGCUCUUUGGGCUACAGCCUGAGGUCGCGCUGCAGGACGUGACCCUGUGUUGCCCUUGGUCCUGCUGAUAAUUGGCUUCAACGGGGAUUGUCUGCGAGGAGGAUUUGUUGUAGAGCCCGAGGUGAGGGAGGAAGCCAACACUCAGCAUCGUGGCCCUUUGUCCCUUGUCCCCAGGUGGAGGGGAGCCAGUGUGGAUGGGAGAGAUUUGUACCAUGCGCAGCGGAGCGAUGGUUUGGGGCUGAAGUAAGGCAUGUGCAGUGCUGGAGGCUGCAACUCUGUCCACCACAGCCUGAGGCGUGCAGGACAAACAGCAGUGCCUGAGUGCUGGAGUAUACCUGGCUGAUGCUGGGACAUCGAGCCAGGGGCAAGCUGCCAGGCUUGAAAACUGGCCUGACAUGACCUGAGUUGUUGAGCAAUGCUUUAAUCAUGCAAGCUGAAGGCUGUGGUCCUGCAGCUUCCUUGAGGUGUGGUGUUGGCUAUGCUGUGCUUGCGGUGCCCUGCCUGGGGCAGCAUGCUGCAGUGUCAGCACAGCAGCUCUGAGUUCGGCCGAGGAAGGAUCUGGAUGGCUCUACCCAGCAGAAAUGCAGUCGCAUGUCUCCCAGCCUCGUGGUCCAGAGCUGGAAUCGUGUCCCACACAGCUGAUGCUGCUUUUGGCCUCUGGUGCCUGCAGGCAGCCCUCAGGCUGCUGUGAAACCAGCUGUGCCCAGGUCCAUCAGCAUGCUCCAGGUACCACUGCCCCUGGAUCGUGAUGGGAUCCUAUUCCGGCUCCGUUUCACCACUCUGGCUGUUGGGACUGUGUUUUGCCCCUUGUUUGGUUUCCUUUUCUGCGUGAUUUGGUCUCUGCUCUUCCACUUCCAGGAGACAACAGCCACCCACUGCGGGGUAAGUGACGUCCACCUGCAGCGUGCUGAGCUCUUCUGGGUGCUGGCUGUGCAGGGAUCCUCUG